rnacentral:rRNA from 1 species
CUCUAAAAAUCGGUCAUUUAGAGGAAGUAAAAGUCGUAACAAGGUCUCCGUUGGUGAACCAGCGGAGGGAUCAUUAUCGAGUUUACAACUCCCAAACCCUUAUGUGAACAUACCUACUGUUGCUUCGGCGGACUCGCCCCGGCGUCCGGACGGCCUCGCGCCGCCCGCGGCCCGGACCCAGGCGGCCGCCGGAGACCCCCAAACUCUGUAUUAUCAGCAUUUUCUGAAUCCGCCGCAAGGCAAAACAAAUGAAUCAAAACUUUCAACAACGGAUCUCUUGGUUCUGGCAUCGAUGAAGAACGCAGCGAAAUGCGAUAAGUAAUGUGAAUUGCAGAAUUCAGUGAAUCAUCGAAUCUUUGAACGCACAUUGCGCCCGCCAGCAUUCUGGCGGGCAUGCCUGUUCGAGCGUCAUUUCAACCCUCGACUUCCCUUUGGGGAAAUCGGCGUUGGGGAACGGCAGCAUACCGCCGGCCCCGAAAUGAAGUGGCGGCCCGUCCGCGGCGACCUCUGCGUAGUAAUCCAACUCGCACCGGAACCCCGACGUGGCCACGCCGUAAAACACCCAACUUCUGAACGUGACCUCGGAUCAGGUAGGAAUACCCGCUGU